GAUGAAGAACGCAGCGAAAUGCGAUAAGUAAUGUGAAUUGCAGAAUUCAGUGAAUCAUCGAAUCUUUGAACGCAUCUUGCGCUCCUUGGUAUUCCUUGGAGCAUGCCUGUUUGAGUAUCAUGAGCAAAUCUCAAAGUCAAUUCCUUUUGUUGAUUCAAUUGGUUUUGCUUUGGACUUGGAGGCCUUGCAGAUUUCACAGUCUGCUCCUCUUAAACGCAUUAGCUGGAUCUCAGUAAUUAUGCUUGGUUCCACUCGGCGUGAUAAGUAUCACUCGCUGAGGACACUGUUAAAAAGGUGGCCAGGAAAAUACUGAUUGAACCGCUUCUAACGGUCUAUUAAGUUAGACAAUUACCCUUAAGUUUGAUCUCAAAUCAGGUAGGACUACCCGCUGAACUUAAGCAUAUCAAUAAGCGGAGGA
rnacentral:misc_RNA from 1 species